GAUGAAGAACGUAGCGAAAUGCGAUAAGUAAUGUGAAUUGCAGAAUUCAGUGAAUCAUCGAAUCUUUGAACGCACAUUGUGCCCCUUGGUAUUCCGAGGGGCAUGCCUGUUCGAGCGUCAUUAUAACCCUCAAGCUCAGCUUGGUGUUGGGGCCUGCUGCACUGGCAGCCCUUAAAAUCAGUGGCGGCGCCAUCUGGCUCUAAGCGUAGUAAUUCUUCUCGCUAUGGAGUCCUGGUGGAUGCUUGCCAUCAACCCCCAAUUUUUCUAUGGUUGACCUCGGAUCAGGUAGGGAUACCCGCUGAACUUAAGCAUAUCAAUAAGCGGAGGA
rnacentral:misc_RNA from 1 species